rnacentral:rRNA from 1 species
GACGAACGCUGGCGGCGUGCUUAACACAUGCAAGUCGAACGGAAAGGCCCUGCUUUUGUGGGGUGCUCGAGUGGCGAACGGGUGAGUAACACGUGAGUAACCUGCCCUUGACUUUGGGAUAACUUCAGGAAACUGGGGCUAAUACCGGAUAGUAGCUCCUGCUGCAUGGUGGGGGUUGGAAAGUUUCGGCGGUUGGGGAUGGACUCGCGGCUUAUCAGCUUGUUGGUGGGGUAUUGACUUACCAAGGCUUUGACGGGUAGCCGGCCUGAGAAGAUGACCGGCAACAAUGGGAAGGAGAUACAGACCAGACAGAUAAGGGAGGAAGAAGGAGGGAAUAUUGCACAGUGGGCGGAAGCCUGAGGCAGCAACGACGCGUGCGGGAUGACGGCCUUAGAGUUGUAAACCGCUUUCGCCUGUGACGAAGCGUGAGUGACGGUAAUGGGUAAAGAAGCACCGGAUAACUACGUG